ensembl:lncRNA
CAGAGGUGAGUUACACAUUGUGACACAUUGCUUCUUUAUUCAUGUGUUUGUUUGUUUCAGGUGCUGAGAGACCAAGUGGUGGACGUCCAGAGAGGAGAGAUCCUGAGAGAUCAAGUGGUGGACGUCCAGAGAGGAGAGGUGAGUUAGAAACAUGCACAUUGUCAGUCAUUGUAGACAGUAGACUUUGUUGCUUUACUUAUGUGUUUAUUGUGUUUGAUUGUUUCAGAUGCUGAGAGAUCAAGUGGUGGACGUCCAGAGGGGAGAGAUGCUGAGAGAUCAAGUGGUGGACGUCCAGAGAGGAGAGGUCCUGAGAGAGCAAGUGGUGGACGUCCAGAGAGGAGAGAUGCUGAGAGAUCAAGUGGUGGACGUCCAUAGAGGAGAGAUCAUGAGAGAUCAAGUGGUGGACGUCCAGAGAGGAGAGAUCCUGAGAGACCAAGCGGUGGACGUCCAGAGAGGAGAGGUGAGUUACACAUUGUCACACAUUGCUGCUUUAUUCAUGUGUUUGUUUUUUUCAGAUGCUGAGAGACCAAGCGGUGGACGUCCAGAGAGGAGAGAUCCUGAGAGACCAAGUGGUGGACGUCCAGAGAGGAGAGGUCCUGAGAGAUCAAGCGGUGGACGUCCAGAGAGGAGAGAUCCUGAGAGAUCAAGUGGUGGACGUCCAGAGAGGAGAGGUGAGUUAAACAUUGUCACACAUUGCUGCUUUAUUCAUGUGUUUGAUUGUUUCAGAUGCUGAGAGACCAAGUGGUGGACGUCCAGAGAGAAGAGAUCCUGAGAGACCAAGUGGUGGACGUCCAGAGAGGAGAGGAGGUUGACAGAGACAGACAGAGGUGAGUUACAACAAGGAAAUGUUAUGUAUGGUGUCACACAUUGAAGACAGCGUUGUUGAUUGUUUGCUUUUGUGUUCAUGUCUUUUAGGAGGUGUCAGAGGAUGUGCUGUGGAAGCUCUUCUUCUUCUUCUUCUUCUUCUUCUUCUUCUUCUUCUUCUUCUUCUUCUUCUUCUUCUUCUUCUUCUUCUUCUUCUUCUUCUUCUUCUUCUUCUUCUUCUUCUUCUUCUUCUUCUUCUUCUUCUUCUUCUUCUUCUUCUUCUUCUUCUUCUUCUUCUUCUUCUUCUUCUUCUUCUUCUUCUUCUUCUUCUUCUUAAUGGAAUUUCACCUAAAUAAAAAAAAAAAAAAAAAAAAAAGAGUCCAAACUGCAUUGUCGU